rnacentral:rRNA from 1 species
ACACUCCUACGGGAGGCAGCAGUGGGGAAUAUUGCACAAUGGGCGCAAGCCUGAUGCAGCCAUGCCGCGUGUAUGAAGAAGGCCUUCGGGUUGUAAAGUACUUUCAGCGGGGAGGAAGGCGAUAAGGUUAAUAACCUUGUUGAUUGACGUUACCCGCAGAAGAAGCACCGGCUAACUCCGUGCCAGCAGCCGCGGUAAUACGGAGGGUGCAAGCGUUAAUCGGAAUUACUGGGCGUAAAGCGCACGCAGGCGGUCUGUCAAGUCGGAUGUGAAAUCCCCGGGCUCAACCUGGGAACUGCAUUCGAAACUGGCAGGCUAGAGUCUUGUAGAGGGGGGUAGAAUUCCAGGUGUAGCGGUGAAAUGCGUAGAGAUCUGGAGGAAUACCGGUGGCGAAGGCGGCCCCCUGGACAAAGACUGACGCUCAGGUGCGAAAGCGUGGGGAGCAAACAGGAUUAGAAACCCGAGUAGUCCC